AUUUUUAGCAUGCAAGGCUCGUGGUUCAAACCUCAGAGUUCACUUUAAAAACACAAGAGAAACAGCCCAGGCUAUCAAAAAGAUGCCUCUUCGUCGUGCUCAGCGCUAUUUAAAAAAUGUUAUUUCUAAAAAAGAAAUAGUUCCAUUU